AAAAGAAAAUCUGUUGUUUUUGCAUAUCUUUAUUUCAAUCUAAUCCAAUUUAUCUGCACGAUGAAGGAAUCUGUGUUUGGUUUCAGCAGAACCAUCUUAGCUAUAGCAGUUGCUUCAAAUUGUGCAGCUCAUUGAGACAAAACAAAAAGUCUCUUGAUAAUUGAUGACUGAAUAAACAAAGAGGAAACUGAAGGCAGAUGUGUGCUGGAAAGCUUUUGGAAAUCCUAGGACAGGAUGGAGGAGAGUUUGAUUUUGUUUUUAAUCAGAAGCACCACAAUUCUCUCUUUCCUAUUUGGCAUUUUUUGUUCUUAAUCUGUGUUGGAGAAGGCAUUGCUGAUGUUAAAUUUUAAGUGAAUUUCCAGUAGUAAAUCUAGGAAGGUUUUUGGUUGGCAGCUGUGCAGACUCGAGCUCUGCCUCUGCAAAACAGACUCUGAAGAGGGAACAGCAUAAAUCCCUCUAAUGCUGUCCUGCCAGAAAGCUUCUUCCUCAACAUGGAAAGAUCAUCUGUAGGAAUUACAAAACUGCUUGCACCUUUGCCCAUCUGUUUUUUAUAUUCUUGCUGGAGCUGUCUGAAGAGUAAUGAGAUGUGUUGUAGAUCUCAUAUUAUGGGCACAUUCAGCUCCCUUAGUCAAGCAACACAAGGACAGGUCCACAUAGGCAGGGACAACGAUUCAGCUCCCGUCAUUUCUUCUGCACCCGUGCCCGCUUCUCUUCUACUCAAAAGCUCGCCUGCUCUUGAUAACAUGUCCAAGUUGGCUGGAAAAAGUGUAUCUUCAGAAACAGAUGAAAUUUAAUUGUGUAAUUGCUUUUCGGUAAAAAAAAAAAAAAAAAAAAAAAAAUUCGAGACAUACAUGCACUAACUUCUAUUGUUUGGCUGGUAACAAGGUUUAGACUCAGAAAAGUGCUAGGGCAUUUUUCAGAUGUGGUCUCUGAAAGUCUGUGUUCAUCAGUCUCUAUGUGAGUUACUCCAGUACAUGACAGGAGCCCUUGGUGCCACCUCACAGCAGGAGCAGUUUGGCUGAAUCACAUCAGUGACACAGGAAAACAGGAUAAUGAGAUAAAUGCACUAAGACUCACCUGAGGAAUUCCUCUGGCAUCUCUGAGUCACAUUUUUACCAGGCAAAAACUGCAAUUUUGUUUUGGGAGAAAAUGAUCACUAGUUUGGUCUAACAAAUAGAAACAAUCCCUACAGAAUUAAAAAAAGAAAAAAGAAAAAAAGAAAACCUGACAAAACUAUUUUGUAGCGAA
rnacentral:lncRNA from 1 species